UCCGUAGGGGGCAAGCGUUGUCCGGAAUCAUUGGGCGUAAAGAGCGUGUAGGCGGCCUGAUAAGUCGGCUGUGAAAGUCAAGGGCUCAACCCUUGAAUGCCGGCCGAUACUGUCAGGCUAGAAUCCGGAAGAGGCGAGUGGAAUUCCUGGUGUAGCGGUGAAAUGCGCAGAUAUCAGGAGGAACACCUAUGGCGAAGGCAGCUCGCUGGGACGGUAUUGACGCUGAGACGCGAAAGCGUGGGGAGCGAACAGG
rnacentral:rRNA from 1 species